rnacentral:rRNA from 1 species
UACGUAGGUGGCAAGCGUUGUCCGGAUUUAUUGGGUUUAAAGGGUGCGUAGGCGGCUUUGUAAGUCAGUGGUGAAAUAUGGCAGCUCAACUGUCAAGGUGCCAUUGAUACUGCGGAGCUUGAGUACAGAUGAGGUAGGCGGAAUUGACGGUGUAGCGGUGAAAUGCUUAGAUAUCGUCAAGAACACCUAUAGCGAAGGCAGCUUACUACACAGUAAUUGACACUGAGGCACGAAAGCGUGGGGAUCAAACAGG